rnacentral:lncRNA from 1 species
AGAGGCGGCGCCACAAAGCCAAGGAACGUCCUUCUUCCUCCUCUGCUCCUCUGCUCCCAGACAUCUCUCAACCAACCUGGACCUGGUGAUACACAGAAGAAUACAACAGGGGAUGGUGGCACACGCCUGUAUCCCAGCGCUCUGGAGGUGGAGGCAGGACUACCCUCAAGCUUGAGGCCAUCCUGGACUACGUAGUGAAGAUCAUGUCAUAGAAAAGCCGUCAGCAUUCCGAAUUAUUCCUGACAGGCUCCAACUUUCAUUUUAAGCAUCCUUAAGAACUUCUUCUGGACAGUUAUCUGGUAGCGAAUCCACCAUCAGCAUUCCUCAGGCUCAGUAACUGGAACGAGAGGGCACCCAGACAACUGAGCGGACAAGGGCGGCGUGACUUGGCUGAAGCACCACUGACAGCCAACAGGACAGGAAUGAGGGAUAAGAAGCCAGUUUCUGUAUGUGGUAGGUGCCCAGUGCAGCUGCACAACAUCUGGAGACAUACUCUAAUAUCAGGCCAAUAUUCCAUGGGAAAAUAUAUACAAGAAGCAGAUAUGCCCAAAGGACUUUGCAUAAAGAACAGACAUCUCCAAUUCUUUGGAUACCCAGCAAAGACCACCAAACCUCCCAAAUGAGACCUGCAGAAAACUCAUCACAAAUAUGGGUAGUUCCCUGAGUCUCAGAAGCUAAGAAGAGAAGCCUUGGGGACUACACGGCCUGCUCAUAACUUCUGGAACGGGCUAAGCACUGUAUCUUAUAGUGCAGAGCCUUCGUACCCAACCAAAGUUCUAAGGAACUAUCCCAGGGUUUAUUCAGUCUUAGACUCUGACAUCAUACAACUCAGUCUGAGUCUGCUAAGACAUAACCACAGGAGCAAACAUGAAGGAAGAUGCUCACCACAUCCACAGCAUCACACAGCCGCUCUCGGGGGAUAUGCUCAGUGAUGGAGGGACACUGAUUCUGCAGGAGCAGCACAGCCUUCAAACCCUCGGCUGUGCAGUCAGCAACGAUCCAGCCACAGUCCAGUGUGCUGAAGGAGAAACCACCCUACAGAGAUAGAGUGCAACAGUGCCCUCCCUACAGAGCCGCACAGUCAGGGCAAGGCCUAGCCACCACCGCACAGGGGUACCUAAAUUGGGCGCAGUUGAACAGACUUCAGCUUCAGCACAGGGACUGUCUAGGACUUCAUGCCCAGCCUGAAUGCUCUCAGAUCUCAGCAAUAAAACGGGUCUGGAACC